rnacentral:lncRNA from 1 species
UUCCCCCUCUUCCACAUCAUUCCAAACCACCUUAUGUAGGAAUUCGAAGUUUGGGACAUGCAUAUAUAUUUUAAAAUUUUAUUUUCUAAAUAUCAUAGUGGAAUAUAAGAUUAAAAUACUUUUAAUCUGAAUCAUGCAGGUAUAAAAUAUAAAACCACAAGGAUCUAGUUCAUGUGCUGAAAUUUAGAUUGUGAUCAAUUCAAAUACCUAUUUCACAAUCUUUUUCUUCGAAUCUAGAUCUG